ACGGGAGGCAGCAGUGGGGAAUAUUGGACAAUGGGCGAAAGCCUGAUCCAGCGACGCCGCGUGAGUGAAGAAGUAUUUCGGUAUGUAAAGCUCUAUCAGCAGGGAAGAUAAUGACGGUACCUGACUAAGAAGCACCGGCUAAAUACGUGCCAGCAGCCGCGGUAAUACGUAUGGUGCAAGCGUUAUCCGGAUUUACUGGGUGUAAAGGGAGCGCAGGCGGUACGGCAAGUCUGAUGUGAAAGCCCGGGGCCCAACCCCGGUACUGCAUUGGAAACUGUCGAACUAGAGUGUCGGAGGGGUAAGCGGAAUUCCUAGUGUAGCGGUGAAAUGCGUAGAUAUUAGGAGGAACACCAGUGGCGAAGGCGGCUUACUGGACGAUAACUGACGCUGAGGCUCGAAAGCGUGGGGAGCAAACAGGAUUAGAUACCCUGGUA
rnacentral:rRNA from 1 species